GCAGGGGUUGGAGAAGUAACUUAUGGGACUUAAAAUCCCUCGGCGGUAACGCUGUACGGGUUCGACCCCCGUCCCGGGCA
rnacentral:tRNA from 1 species